GACGUGCAUCCCGUGAUCGUUUCGCUGCCAUGUUAUUCUUCCUACGACGCGCCCAGUAUUUGUCAUCCUUCAGGUCAUCCGGAACGAACUGUAACCGGUAGCGGACCAUGGAAAAGAGCAGGAAAUUAGAACGAACGUAUAUUGCAAUCGAACAUGAAAAUGAACUGACCUGCUUCCGUGAUUUCUUGAUCAUCGGUUGGGGUUUCAGCUCCUCGUCGGAGAAGGCCCGGGUGCGUGGAUCGAAGUCUCGCCCCGAUGAGGCCAUCGAGAGCGCUACAAGAGACAAGCCAUAUUGUAUUCGUGACGAGUCCUCGGAAUCUGUCACGCGAAGAGGGAAUAAUCGACAAUUUCGAUGUUAGUUUCAUCCGUUUCCCGAAAACUAAAUACACCGGAGUCGAUCCUGAGACUUUAUCCCUUGGAUAAUCGUUCACUUCUAAAAUCAAAUUUAAAACAAUUGCAUUUCUUUCCUGAAUCCUCCAUUUCGUUUUUACUCUUCAACGAAUCUUCUUCUAAAUCCUGAACUCUCUUGAAAUGCAAACAUUUUGAGAUUCAUAUUCCAAACAAGCUCACUUUUACUUUUAACUUUAAAUUCUAUUAAAUAACCUUUUAUUUUCAACUUUACACCCUUCAAUCCCCCAAUCUCUCCCUAAUUCUUGCACGAGCGAUGAAUUAAUAAACGAAAGCUCGGGGCUAAAAAUAUAAUUCCCUCAGGAUCGACGUCCAAACAAAUCAGGUAGGAAAUCGGAUGAACGAUUCACUCACUGGAAUCCGCGGGCGAGGGAGGGUUCAUAGUGUCGGGUGAGCAACACUCGCUCGGCGAGGGUGAUCUCUCGCGUUUGGUGACCGGCUCUAAGUGGAGGCCGGCUGGACCUUGGUGUCCUGGUGUUUCGGUGUUGUUCAUUUUGUGCAGUUGUCCGCUCUGCAUCGUCCCUUGUCCGCCGCCGGCCACUCCAUCCACGGGAAUACCGUUCUCGGAGAGAAACUCGUCGAGAUCGACGUACUGUAACAGGAGGAUAACGGCAUCCUUUUUUUUUUCGAUCCUCAGCAGAAAAAAAAGAUAUAACAGAGUCGAGUGUUGUGGUGUUAUCAUUCAUUUCAAAUCGAACAUCGUGUGCAUCAGCUAGCAAUUGAGCAAUAAAACGAGAAAUAAAAUUUUUUCUUUUUUCUAAAGAAAACGCGAAUGGGGAAGAAUAAAAAAGUAAGUAGAUUAACUUGGGCGAUUAACUUUCGAUUCAUAAUUUUACAGUUGGAUGCGAGAAGGAUGCCUCGCUCACUGUCCCAAUUUGUUUCUUGUCGUUUGGAAUGAUAAAUGUAAUUCAAUUUUAUAAGAUAUAAUGAAAUUUACAAGGGUAUUGUGUUCUUCUUGCAUCCGGUGGUACAAUUAAUGAAAAAAAAAAUAAAAAAAAGAGAAGAAGAAGAAAGAAAA